rnacentral:tRNA from 2 species
UCCUCCUUAGCUCAGUCGGUAGAGCAGAGGAUUGAAAAUCCUCGUGUCGGUGGUUCGAUUCCGCCUCGAGGCACCA